AACUUGAGCGGAAAAGGGGAGUGUUAACUAGUUAACCCUACAUACAACGGUCACAAGUCCGGGACUUCACUCAGGGUAUUAUCCGUCUUUAAAUUUGCUUCUGAUGUCAACCCGUUUUUCCGACACAUGAACCCUGCUGGUUAUACUGAUUGCCCUAAAUAAAUAUCAUAUCUCAUUUACGUAUUUUAACACUUUCAUUACCGCUACGAUUUUCACGAUGUUUUCUCGGGAGCCGCCUACAUUUUACGUUGGACUCGCUAGGUGAGUCGCCGGCGCUGCGAUACGAAUCAUUCGACUCGCCACGCGAGUUCAGUGGCAUUGCGUUAGGGUAAAAACUAUGUUCUGUUAUUUUUGUGGCCGUGACAGUGUACGUUACGUGUUUAAAGCAAUUAACUAGUAUAUGGUGUAAUUUAACAAAAAGAAAAUGGCAAGAAACACUAUAAAUAAACGAAAAGGCCACCACAAAACACAAUAACAUAGAACACAAGAAUCUCAAAGUCCAGAAAACGUUUGCCAGGGGUUAAAACAGUAGGUACUCCAACAGGUCCAGUAAUCGAAAGCCAAGUCACAAUGAUAGAAAACAAAUAUACGCGUGCGAUAAGGAAAGGGUCGUGCUUAACACUAAUCUAUAUAUAAAGAAAGUCGGGUUUGUUACAACACUUCACUCGAGAUUGACCAAUGAGAGCUUGGCAAAAACAAUGUUAUCAGUGCUUUUAUUGCUUACUAACCAGAGCGUUCAUGUUAAAAAAUACCGGUUCCUUUUGUUUUGCCGGCAAUUUUUAACAAUGCGAAGGGAUCCUCUUUCAGUUGUAACUCUUAAAGUAAUAGACCGAGAGUUGAGUUUGUGUUUUCUGCACCGUUCGUUUAACAAAAACGCAAGGACAGACUCAAAAACUUAGAAGUACCCAUUUGGUGAACACCAAAUUCGAGCCCCUACAAGGUGUCGAACACAAUCCGCCGUUGUUUUACGAGUGAAUGUGACUUUUGGUAAAAUGAAAAUAAAAGUAUCUACCUUUUAUAUAUUUCAUUUAUAAAAGUUUGAGAAUCUAUGUUAGUGAACUCGCCUAGCGAGUUCAAGGCAUUGCAGAAUAGUUUAUUUUCUUUCGAUUAUAAACUGGGUCUGCACACCCGGCCCACCACGUUAUUCAUUAGAUUAGUGUAUAUUUAGUCUUCAGUAUUAUUUUAAGCAGAAAAUACACAUGCAUUUUGAAAAAAAAUUGCAAAAACAUUGAACUCGCGAGGCGAGUCUACGGCGCUGGAAUAAAAUUUACGUGGACUCUCCGGGCGAGUCGGUGGCACUGAACGUGUUAAUAUCUGUUUAUUAAUAGUCAAACGAAACCGUCAGUGAAGUUCGUUGAUCCGUUACGACGACGCAUCGCACUAAUGGGGCUACGCCCUUAGUUGGCAGGUAUUGGUUUAGUAGGUAGUGAUAGAUAAUAGUAAUUAAAUAAUAUAAUUAAAGUAGUGAGAUGAUAAUUAAGAAAAAAUAAUUACUAAGUGUAUUCUUAUAUUUUGAAUUAAAUUCAAAUGCAAGCACUCUGAUUCUUCGUUCACAUCAACCACUUUCUCCGCACUUAUGUAGUGUUUUCUAAAAAAGUAAUGUUAUAAUUAUAAUAAUAGGCUAGUUGACACUUUUUUUAUAUUUCUUAUAGUUCAUUAUCGUUGGUACUAAAUUGAAAAAAAAAUCAUAUUUUUUUGAGACGGACAAUACGAGCCCAAACGCUAAAAACGCCUGUCGGCCAUGACGGUUUAUAUUUUUCAACUGUUUCAUGACGUCACUAUAACAAAUCUAUUACAAACGGAGCGUUUAUCAAAAAUAAUAGUUAAUAAUAAUUAAUUCGACGUUUUUUUUGUACAUCAAGUGUAUUAGUGACGUCAAGAUAUAGAGUCGUCAAGGGUUUUUGACUUUUGGGAAUUUGAAAAAUACGUGAUAUUUAAAUUAUUUUUUAUAAUAAAUCCUUAACUUUUAAUAAUUGUUAUCGAUAUAUUUCGUACCCAUAUUCCUUGGUACAAUGCGAAAUUAAUAUUGUUUAUAAUGAAUUUGAUAUCAGUCAACUACCCUAUUCGUAGCUUCUAAACGAAUGGCCAGAGGGCCUAGUGGCAGUUUGAUACUGUUACUGUCACGUAACGUAAACGUGAAUUUCUAAGGAAUUGAAACAACGCCAUCUAGCGGCACUACUGCACAACUGUUUCAAUUCCAUAUAAAUUUGCGUAAACGUCAACGUGAUAGUAGUUUGAAAAUAUUGAAAACUCAGACUAGGCACACUGAUUAUGAUGCGUUUUUUAUUUAUAAGCUAACGUGAUAGAGAUGGUUCUUAGCCAUACACUCGUAUGAUGAAGAUCCGAUUAGCCAAUCGGCGUCUUCAAUAUAUUGAUUCCAGAUAAAUAUUCAUAUAUUUAUCCGGCGUUUUCUAUUGUGAUGGAAGGAAUUUCUGACAUAAAAGUCGUAAAUUCACAAGUGCUGGAGGAAUUUAAAAUUAAAAAUUUUAUCUUAAUCUUAUAGCUAUUUACCAAGCAUUUUUAUUCUCCUUUUGUUGUUUUUUUUAAUUCAAUUGUGAUCUCUUUAAAUAAGAAUAUAUUUUUUAUCAUUUCACGUAGGUAGUAGGUACCUACUUGAUAUAGUAACACAAGUCCUAGUUAUUUUUAGUAAUCUUCUUGCAAUUGUAUGAAUUGUUGUCGUAAUCUAUAAUUUUUCAAUAUUUGACAAAAUUGUCAAUUAGCUAAGUUAUUUAUUAAGUACCGUACCGAUCGUAAAACCAUGAAAUACAUUUUACAAUACAUUUUAAA
rnacentral:lncRNA from 1 species